rnacentral:rRNA from 1 species
UACAGAGGUCUCAAGCGUUGUUCGGAUUCAUUGGGCGUAAAGGGCUCGUAGGCGGCCAACUAAGUCGGAUGUGAAAUCCCCAGGCUUAACCUGGGAACUGCAUCCGAUACUGGAUGGCUUGAAUCCGGGAGAGGGAUGCAGAAUUCCAGGUGUAGCGGUGAAAUGCGUAGAUAUCUGGAGGAAUACCGGUGGCGAAGGCGGCAUCCUGGACCGGCAUUGACGCUGAUGAGCGAAAAGCUAGGGGAGCAAACGGGG